GAUGAAGAACGUAGCGAAAUGCGAUACUUGGUGUGAAUUGCAGAAUCCCGUGAACCAUCGAGUCUUUGAACGCAAGUUGCGCCCGAAGCCAUUAGGCCGAGGGCACGCCUGCCUGGGCGUCACACGUCGUUGCCCCCCCAUCUACUCCUUCGGGAUUGCGGGGGGCGGAUGAUGGCCUCCCGUGCGCCUCGUCGCGCGGUUGGCAUAAAUGCCAAGUCCUCGGCGACGCACGCCACGACAAUCGGUGGUUGCGAAUCCUCGGUUGCCCGUCGUGUGCGGUCGUCGCGCAUCGAGGGCUCGAAAAAAUUGCCGGGCUCCGGCUCGGCUUUCAACGCGACCCCAGGUCAGGCGGGGUUACCCGCUGAAUUUAAGCAUAUCAAUAAGCGGAAGGA
rnacentral:misc_RNA from 1 species